rnacentral:rRNA from 1 species
UACGUAGGUGGCAAGCGUUGUCCGGAUUUAUUGGGUUUAAAGGGUGCGUAGGCGGCCUAUUAAGUCAGUGCUGAAAUAUCCCGGCUUAACCGGGAGGGUGGCAUUGAUACUGAUGGGCUUGAGUGGAGUAGAGGUAGGCGGAAUUGACGGUGUAGCGGUGAAAUGCUUAGAUAUCGUCAAGAACACCGAUAGUGUAGACAGUUUACUAGGCUCAAACUGACGCUGAGGCACGAAAGUGUGGGGAUCAAACAGG